CCUAAAUGCUAUUGAAAUACAAUAAUUAUGAUCGACGGCUCAUUUGACCAACAGGGGACUGACGCGAUUCGCUUAAGACCACAAUCAAAAUUAAACAAUAAAUCUCAAGGGAUGGCAUGGCUAAAGUCCUCACUGUGUAGACCAUAGAGCCGAUCUUUAUUUCUUUGGAGAGGGAAUAUGAAUAAUUCAAGGUUGUAAGGUGUUCUGAGGCUGGAUAAAAAAAAGAGGAAGUCAGUUGCGACUUCUGCAG